rnacentral:lncRNA from 1 species
UAAACUCAUAACUUUGAUUAUGCAGUAUGCUUUGUAUAUUAUUUCUGAAAGCAUGUAUAUUUCAAUCAAGAUUGUUGAGUAAACUUUUCUUGCUUUAUGCUAUCUCUGAAAGCAUGUAUAUUUCAGUCAAGAUUGUUGAGUAAAUUGUGCUUAUUUUAUGCUUUUUUCUUUUUUACAUUAGAAAAUUCCACACCUUUAUCACGAGGAAAUCUGCAAUGGCAUUUAGGAAUGACAAAAGCUCAACUAUUCGAAGCAGGAGACCGAAGAGAAAAAAAGGAAGAGAGAUGAUAUUACAGCUGCAGAAAAGGAAAUAAUUGAAACGCAGAAGAAUAUAUUAAUGUACUGUGUGAAAUAUGUGACUUGUAUAAGCAAUCAGUUGCAAAUCAGUCUGCUGUCAUAGAAAAUCAAAAUAUAAUUAUUAAUUUAUUAAAAAAAUAAAUCAUGCAUUUCAAAUAUUA